CCCAUCAGAGCGGACUAGACUCCAGCCUUUCAAAGAGAAAGACUGCGGUGGCGUGCGCCUCGUCAGCGGGAACGGGAGCAGACGUCUMCAGACGUGAAAAGCGAGGGCCGGGACCCUAUUUAGGGACAUAGUUCGGCCCGCGGCCUCCCGCGCAGACAGGCRCCGCCGCGCCAGAUCAARAAUUUCUCGCAGCACGCCGCUGUUCGCGCGCGCGCACGGGAGUUGAAGCCCGGGCGGCGCGUAGUGUGCGCCGCCCGGGUCACCAAAGUCAUCCGGCUGGGAGUCGGUCCGCACCAGGCCCUAACCUUUAGGUUCCUGGCGUUA
rnacentral:rRNA from 1 species